rnacentral:lncRNA from 12 species
GGGGGGGGGGGGGGGGGGGGGGGGGGGGGGGGGGGGGGGGGGGGGGGGGGGGGGGGGGGACCGUGCCCCAAUGUCACCGUGCUCAGUGAGGGCUGGCCCCGUGUCCCCAAUGUCCCCAAUGUCACCAUGUCCCAGUGUCCCCAAUGUCCCCAAUGUCCCCAAUGUCCCCAGGGGGGGGGGGGGGGGGGGGGGGGGGGGGGGGGGGGGGGGGGGGGGGGGGGGGGGGGGGGGGGGGGGGGGGGGGGGGGGGGGGGGGGGGGGGGGGGGGGGGGGGGGGGGGGGGGGGGGGGGGGGGGGGGGGGGGGGGGGGGGGGGGGGGGGGGGGGGGCCCCAAUGUCACCGUGCUCAGUGAGGGCUGGCCCCGUGUCCCUGUGUCCCCAAUGUCACCGUGUCCCUGUGUCCCCAGUGUCACCGUGUCACUGUGCUCAGUGAGGGCUGUCCCUGUGUCCCCUGUGACACCGUGUCCCCAAUGUCCCCAAUGUCCAUGUCACCAUGCUCACUGAGGGCUGGCCCCGUGUCCCCAUGUCCCUGUGUCCCCAGUGUCCCCAAUGUCACAGUGUCCCCAAUGUCACCGUGCUCAGUGAGGGCUGCCGGUGUGACAGUGGUGCUGUCCCUGUGUCCCCGUGUCCCCAGUGUCACAUUGUCCCCGUGUCUGUGUCCCAGUGUCCCCGUGUCCCAGUGUCCCCGUGUCCCCAGUGUCACCAUGUCCCCGUAUCCCUGUGUCCCCGUGUCCCAGUGUCCCCAGUCUCACUGUGCUCAGGGAGGGCAGCACCGUCCCAGUGUCCCCACUAUGUCCCCAGUGUCCCACACUGAUCCCAAUGUUCCCAGUGUCCCCAGUGUCCCCAAUGUCCCCAGUGUCCCCAGUGUCCCCCUCCCCGAACCCCCAAAUCACCAGCGGUCCUUUACAACAUGACCCAAACCGGUCCAAAAAACUCCCCAUUUCCCACCCCAAACCUGCCCCUAAAUCAACCCCGACUGCUGUCACCGCCACGGUACGGCUGUCCCAAAAAUGUCACCCUGUCCCCAAAACUGUCACCCUGUCCUGUCCCCAAAACUGUCACCCUGUCCCCUGCCAUCCACCCUGUCCUGCCCUGUCCUGCUCUGUCCUGUCCCCACCAUCACCUGGUUCUGUGCUGGGCAGCAGCAGGAUGGUGCUGUCACCGCCACGGUACGGCUGUCCCAAAAAUGUCACCCUGUCCCCAAAACUGUCACCCUGUCCUGUCCCCAAAACUGUCACCCUGUCCCCUGCCAUCCACCCUGUCCUGCCCUGUCCUGCUCUGUCCUGUCCCCACCAUCACCUGGUUCUGUGCUGGGCAGCAGCAGGAUGGUGCUGUCACCGCCACGGUACGGCUGUCCCAAAAAUGUCACCCUGUCCCCAAAACUGUCACCCUGUCCUGUCCCCAAAACUGUCACCCUGUCCCCUGCCAUCCACCCUGUCCUGCCCUGUCCUGCUCUGUCCUGUCCCCACCAUCACCUGGUUCUGUGCUGGGCAGCAGCAGGAUGGUGCUGUCACCGCCACGGUACGGCUGUCCCAAAAAUGUCACCCUGUCCCCAAAACUGUCACCCUGUCCUGUCCCCAAAACUGUCACCCUGUCCCCUGCCAUCCACCCUGUCCUGCCCUGUCCUGCUCUGUCCUGUCCCCACCAUCACCUGGUUCUGUGCUGGGCAGCAGCAGGAUGGUGCUGUCACCGCCACGGUACGGCUGUCCCAAAAAUGUCACCCUGUCCCCAAAACUGUCACCCUGUCCCCUGCCAUCCACUGUGUCCUGUCCUAUCCUGUCCCCUCCAUCACCUGGUUCUGUGCUGGGCAGCAGCAGGAUGGUGCUGUCACCGCCACGGUAUGGCUGGCACCAAAAAUGUCACCUGUCCUGUCCUGGUGUCCCCAAAACUGUCACCCUGUCCUGUCCUGUCCUGUCCUGUCCUGUCCCCACCACUGCCUGGUUCUGUGCCAGAAAGCAGCAGGACAGCACUGCCGCCACCACAGUACAGUUGUCCCCAAAAUUGUCCCCUCCUGGUGUCCCUGAAACUGUCACUCUGUCCCCUCCAGGUGUCCCCAGCCCUGUCCCCAUGUCCCCCCUGUGCUGUCACCAUCCCCUCCGGGUGUCCCCAGCCCUGUCCCCAUGUCCCCCCUGUGCUGUCACCAUCCCCUCCUGGUGUCCCCAGCCCUGUCCCAUGUCCCCCCUGUUCCCCUCCGGGUGUCCCCAGCCCUGUCCCCAUGUCCCCCCCGUGCUGUCACCAUCCCCUCCGGGUGUCCCCAGCCCUGUCCCCAUGUCCCCCCUGUGCUGUCACCAUCCCCUCCGGGUGUCCCCAGCCCCGUCCCCGUGUCCCUUCCUGCGUGGUGGCCGUCCCCUCCGGGUGUCGCCAGCCCUGUCCCCUGUCCCCAGGAGCUGCUGGCCGACGGCAAGCGCGAGAGCACCACCAGCCUGCUGCCCAUCACCCCCAGCGAGCUGGACACCGGCCGCGUCUUCUCCUGCCGCAGCGCCAACGCGGCCGCGCCCGGCGGCAAAGAGACCUUCGUGCGCCUCAACGUGCACCGUGCGUGGCACCGCCACACGGGACACGGGACACGGGACACGGGACACGGGACAGGGGACAUGGGGAUAUGGGGCACGGGACAGGGGACACGGGACACGGGACAGGGGACAUGGGGACAGGGGACACGGGACACGGGACACGGGACAGGGGACACGGGACAGGGGACACGGGACAGGGGACAUGCGACACGGGGCACGGGACAUGGUGACAGGGGACAUGGGGACACGGGACACAGGACACGGGACAGGGGACAUGGGGACAUGGGGACAUGGGGACAGAGGGACACGGGGACACAGGGACAUGGGGACAGUGGGGACAUGGGGAUAGCGGGGACAUGGGGACAGUGGGGACAGCGGGGACAUGGGACAGUGGGGAUAGCGGGGACAGCAGGGACACUGGGGAAAUUGCGGGCAGUGGGGAUAUCGGGGACACAGGGGACAGUGGGGACACCGGGGACAUUGGGGGCAGUGGGGAUACUGGGGACACAGGGGACACAGGGGACAGUGGGGAUGUCAGGGACAUCGGGGACAGCAGGGGAUAAUGGGGGGGGGGGGGGGGGGGGGGGGGGGGGGGGGGGGGGGGGGGGGGGGGGGGGGGGGGGGGGGGG